AAACUUGACGGCGCGUGUAGGGCGGCGGCUGGCUUGGUGGAGGCGGGGGUUGCUCCUUAAAGGAGCCGUUAGAGGGUGCCCUGCGGCCCCGCGGCUUCUUCCCUUCUCCAGGGAGGGCAGCCCGGUGUUCUGUGGCAUCGCAGACCUCACGGGCUUGGGCUCGGAAGAGGCGAUGGCAAGUGUCAGUGGAGGGAAGGCGGGAGGUGGGGGUCCUGGCACGGGAGGGAUUCGGGGGCUGCGGGACUGGGCAGGGGUUUGGGGGGAGCGAUGUGGAAUGCCCCUCGGCAGUUGUGCACCCCAGGACCCUGCCCCACACCAGGGCUCCUGCGCCCAGCACCUGCCGGGCCAGCUCUGGGGAGGAUGAUUGGGCAUUGCAGCUAGAGGCUGGCCCCUUGUAAGGGGUCCAGGGAAGGGCUCUGGCUCAAAGGUGGAGGGGCUCAAAGACGUGAAACCUGAGGGCGAAGGCAGGGGAGGGAGAGGUACAGAGGCAGCGGAAGCUCAGAGAGAGAAGGGCAGCUCACCCCAAGCAGGGGUGAGAGGCUGCCUGAGGCCCUUGGCUCUCCCCCGACUUGAUUCCUCUUGGGUCUGAAGUCUGAGCUCACAGAAUUUCUGUGUAACCAGCUCCUUCCACCCUCGUGUGGGGAGAGAGAGGUCAAGCACGAAGCUGGGGUUGCAGCCAUCUCCAAGUCAGCAGCCGAGGCUUCUGUCCAGCCCCAGCUGUGCAGGCGCUGGGGCUCCUGGGCAGCACUUUUUCCUCAGAGGAAUGGGUUUCAGGCAUGUUUCCGAGUUGAGGGCUGUGAUUGUCUCUGCAGUUGUAUUUGCUCACCUGCAUGCCCAGAGAAACACACAUACACUUGUCUGUGUGUCUGCACACACAUUCGCACAUGCACGCAUCUGUGACACACAUAUACACGUGUGUAAAGUGCACACAUGUGCCAUAUAUCUACAUGUAUAAUACAACUCUCAUGCCACACACUGUCACAGACACGUACACAUCUGCCUGCAUACACAUGACACACGCGCGCGCGAUACAGAUAACACAAAGGGACCCUCAGAAACAGUCACACUCACAGGCGCCCACACCAUUGGCUCCAGCCCCAAGGGUGCCUCAGUUCCUCUGUAGGCCUGUGGGUGCACAGCCACCUCCAGAGGCCUCACCCCUCCUGUCGCUGCUCUCACUCCCAUGACUGGUUUGUUUUGCUCAUUACACUUGGCGCCCUCUGAAAUGACUGCACUGAUCUGAGUCCUUGUUGGCACUCUGCCCCCUCCUGCAUGGGGACUUUGUCUGUGUCCCCCAAUGUCCCAGGCUGGCAUGAAGUAGGCACACAGAGUUUGUGAAUUAAUGCCUGUGUGUCUAUGGGAGGGGGGUUACGAGGGAGGGUGACGUGGUGGGGCGGGCGCCUGCCCACGUGGGGGUGACCCCAAGGGUGUGCCCAGCGUGGGUGUGUCUGUGAUUGUGGCCAGGCAGGGCACACUUGGAGGGAGGGGAGAGCUCGGAAGUGGAAUGCGACCCCCCAGCCUCUUUUCCCUAGGGGCUGUAAUCUGAUCCCUGGGGACUCCCCCCUAGCCUCCAGCCCGCCCUCGUCCUUGCUGCAGCUCCUUCUCUUCCAGAUCCUGGGGCAGAGUCCAGGGCGGCUCAAGGCUCCUCCACACACGCCUGCUGAACCCUGAGCACCCUGAGCUGCCCGGAUGGGGCAGGCUGCGGCCGCCGCCAUGAUCCCAGGCCUGGCCCUGCUCUGGGCAGCAGUGCUGGGGGGUGCUGCCCCCAGCCCUCCCCGCCUUCGGCUCUCCUUCCAAGGUAGGUGCACCUGGCAGGCAAGAGGGCUUGGCUCAGGGUGAGCAGGAGAGAGACCCAGUGUGAGUAGGGGGCACUAAGUUUGCUGCUGCCCUGUGCCACUGGCCCAGGUUUGAGUGGGGGCACUUUCAGGCCACCUCCAGUUAACCCUGUCCUGGCCUCAGCCCCCAGCCUUUCUGCACACAUUCUCCUCUGACUUUCCCAGGAAGACCCCUUCUGUUCCCGUGGCAACAGAUCCUGCCUGUGUCCCAUCCACCACCCCCACACCCCUGACACAGAAGGGUGGUCACCAGGCAUCGCACUGAGCUUAGGCUAGUAGCAGGGUGGCAGAGAAUCCUCAGCCUGACUUUGGGGUGGGGGUCCUGGCUUUCCCUACAUACGCAGCCUCCCCCAACACCCGGCCUCCCAGUGCGCCCGCCUGCAGACACUGCUUGUCCAGGCAUGCCUGAGGAGUUCAACCUGCUUUUCCCUUGGGGGGGGGGGGGGAACGGUGCUGCAUUGCCCACUCUGGAAGCUUUUCACAUGGGUGGAUCUGUCUUCACGAAUGUAAACUCACACAUGGGUAAACUCACAUGUGUGGGCCAGGUCACAUAUACAACCAUCACCUGUGAGAGAGACGAUAGGUAGGGUCUGGGGAAAGCUCCCAGCAUGGCUGGCAAACACUACCCUGCAGAGCUCCAGGCCCAGCACGGUCUCCGGACCUUCAGGCUGGAGAGGACCUGCUGCUAUGAAGCUCUGCUGGUGGACGAGGAGAGAGGACGCCUGUUUGUGGGUGCCGAGAACCGCGUGGCCUCCCUCAGCCUGGACGACAUCAGCAAGCGGGCCAAGAAGGUGCCAGGGACCCCCAGCCUCUGUGCUCCCCAGGGGGGUGGGCCCCUGAGCAGACACCCUCUUCACAGAGACCAGGCAAAGGCCCUUGACCUGUGUCCCCCUUCCCUGACCCCCUCGCAGCUGGCCUGGCCGGCCCCUGUGGAAUGGCGAGAGGAGUGCAACUGGGCAGGGAAGGACAUUGGUGUGAGUGCCGGCCGCCCGGGGCGGGAAUGGGGAGGCCCGGCCCCUUGCUCCACAGACAGCAGAAGCCUGCCUCUUCUGUCUGGGAUGGGGGCAGGGGGUCGAGGUGGCUGAAGUUUAGAGGUAGUGAGUCAGGGUGGAGGCUCAUGUGAUUCUUCUUGGGGGCGUCUGAGUCAUAGGGGGCUGUACAGGCCUAUGCUUCUCCAUGCACCCCUUCUGUGAGAGGUGGGCUGAGCUGGUCACCAAGGGUGUCCGGGCUCCUGAAGCCCAUGUUGCUACUUGCCUGGACUGAUGCAGAAGAGAGGAAGGGGUGAGGUACCACUGGCGAGCUGGGACCCCUUAACGCUGCCUCCCUGGGGGAGGCCUCAUCGUCCCUGCCCCUGCCCGCCCACUAGACCGAGUGCAUGAACUUCGUGAAGUUGCUGCAUGCCUACAACCGCACCCACUUGCUGGCCUGUGGCACAGGGGCCUUCCACCCAACCUGUGCAUUUGUGGAGGUGGGCCACCGGCUGGAGGUAAGGCCAGAUCUAGGCAGAGAGGGAGGUUGGGAGGUAAAGAAGGGCCUGGAAGUAACAACUGCCCCCGGCCUCCCAGGAGCCCACGCUCCGGCUAGACCUUCGAAGGCUGGAGGAUGGCAAGGGCAAGAGUCCUUAUGACCCCAGGCAUCGGGCUGCCUCCGUGCUGGUGGGUGAGUCCAAUGGCUAGGGCCCUGCAGAGACUCUAGACCCUCCUGAGAGCCCCUGAGAGCCCCCAGGGCAUCACUGACUCCUUAAGAGCUCUUGGAACUCUACAAGGACUCCCCACAGAGAGCCUUCAGAUUGGCUAAGCAGCUCUUGCCCUAUCUGCAGGGAAAGAACUGUACUCAGGGGUGGCCGCAGACCUCAUGGGCCGGGACUUCACCAUCUUCCGCAGCCUGGGCCAGCGUCCAAGUCUGCGAACAGAACCA
rnacentral:lncRNA from 1 species